rnacentral:rRNA from 1 species
UCGAGAAUCUUUCGCAAUGCCCGAAAGGGUGACGAAGCGACGCCGCGUGCGGGAAGAAGGCCUUCGGGUUGUAAACCGCUGUCGGGAGUUAAGAAAUGCAAGGAUAUUAAUAGUGUCUUUGCUUGACUAAGGCUCCGGAGGAAGCCACGGCUAACUCUGUGCCAGCAGCCGCGGUAAUACAGAGGCGGCAAGCGUUGUUCGGAAUUAUUGGGCGUAAAGAGCACGUAGGCGGCUAUGUAAGUCGGUUGUGAAAGCCUUCCGCUCAACGGGAGAACAGCAUCCGAUACUGCAUGGCUUGAGUGCGGGAGGGAGAGUGGAACUUCUGGUGGAGCGGUGAAAUGCGUAGAUAUCAGAAGGAACGCCGGCGGCGAAAGCGGCUCUCUGGCCCGUAACUGACGCUGA